rnacentral:rRNA from 1 species
UGGCAGUUCGCCACAUAAAGAGGUACGUGUGCUGGGUUUAAAACGUCGUGAGACAGUUUGGUCCCGAUCUUCCGUUGGCGCUGCAAGAUUGAGAGAGCCUGCUCCUAGUACGAGAGGACCGGAGUGGACGCACCUCUGGUGUAUCGGUUGUCACGCCAGUGGCAUUGCCGAGUAGCUAAGUGCGGAAGAGAUAACCGCUGAAAGCAUCUAAGCGGGAAACUCGUCUCAAGAUGAGUCUUGCCGGGGCCUUGAGCCCCCUGAAGAGUCGUUCGAGACCAGGACGUUGAUAGGCCGGGUGUGGAAGCGUAGUAAUGCGUUAAGCUAACCGGUACUAAUUGCUCGUGAGGCUUGACCCU